rnacentral:rRNA from 1 species
UAGAGUUUGAUCCUGGCUCAGAACGAACGCUUGUGGCGUGUUUUAUACAUGCAAGUCGAGCGAGGACAGUAUCUUGCUACUGAGCCGAGCGGCGAACGGGUGAGUAACGCGUAAGCAAUCUGCCCCACAAUCGGGAACAACCGUGCCAACGCGCGGCUAAUGCCGGAUAUUGUGUCCUACUGCAUAGUAGGUUAACGAAAGAUUUAUCGUUGUGGGAUGAGCUUGCGUCCGAUUAGCUAGUUGGCGGGGUAAUAGCCCACCAAGGCGACGAUCGGUAGCCGGCCUGAGAGGGUGAUCGGCCACAUUGGGACUGAGAUACGGCCCAGACUCCUACGGGAGGCAGCAGUAGGGAAUAUUGCGCAAUGGGGGGAACCCUGACGCAGCAACGCCACGUGUGGGAAGAAGCAUUUCGGUGUGUAAACCACUGUCGGAAAGGAAUAACGGAAGACUUCGGUCUUUAUGAAUGUACUUUUAGAGGAAGCACCGGCAAACUUCGUGCCAGCAGCCGCGGUAAUACGAGGGGUGCAAGCGUUGUUCGGAAUCACUGGGCGUAAAGGGAGCGUAGGCGGAAGUGCAAGCAAUCUGUAUAAUCCUGGGGCCCAACCCCAGUUCUGCAGAUUGGACUGUAUUUCUUGAAUAGUUCAGAGGCAAGCGGAAUUUCUGGUGUAGCGGUGGAAUGCGUAGAGAUCAGAAAGAACACCAAUGGCGAAGGCAGCUUGCUGGGGACUUAUUGACGCUGAGGCUCGAAAGUGUGGGUAGCAAACAGGAUUAGAUACCCUGGUAGUCCACACUGUAAACGAUGCAUACUGGGUGUCCGAAAUUCGUUUCGGGUACCGUAGCUAACGCGUUAAGUAUGCCGCCUGGGGAGUACGUACGCAAGUAUGAAACGCAAAGGAAUUGACGGGGGCCCGCACAAGCGGAGGAACAUGUGGUUCAAUUCGAUGAUACGCGAGGAACCUUACCCGGGCUCGAACGGUGCAUGAAUAUACGAGAGAUUGUAUAGUCCUUCGGGACAUGUAUCGAGGUGCUGCAUGGUUGUCGUCAGCUCGUGCCGUGAGGUGUCGGCUUAAGUGCCAUAACGAGCGCAACCCUUGUCAUUAGUUGCCAUCAGGUCAAGCUGGGGACUUUAAUGAGACUGCCACCGUAAGGUGUGAGGAAGGGGGGGAUGACGUCAAAUCAGCACGGCCCUUACGUCCGGGGCGACACACGUGUUACAAUGGGAGGUACAGAGGGCAGCUAUCCGGUGACGGAAUGCUAAUCUCCAAAACCUUUCUCAGUUCGGAUUGGAGUCUGCAACUCGACUCCAUGAAGGUGGAUUCGCUAGUAAUCGCGCAUCAGCCAUGGCGCGGUGAAUACGUUCCCGGGCCUUGCACACACCGCCCGUCAAG